AGGAAGAAAAUACCGCGGUGUUUGCGCUUAUUGUUUGCUUGUUAAAUUGAUUCCUGGUUUACUUUUAACAGUUCCUUUUGUCUCAAGCAAGAAAAUACCGCGGUUUUUGCGCUUAUUGUUUGCUUGUUGAAUUGAUUCCUUGUUCACUGGCUCAGGACCAUUGUUCAAAAUUAGAAUAGAUUUGUUUUGGCGGUCUUUAUAAAUGUCUGGACAUUUUGGUAGCUCACACAAACAAGCUGACUUAAGCAACAACACGAUAUAUUCACCAAGAGAAAAGACCUUUCAAGAAAAAUGAAAUUGCAAUUGAUAAUUACCUAGCUCGUCAUUCUCAACUCCUCCACUGGCCAAAAACUUACCGCGAAGCUGAUUCUACAACAAGAGAGCCUCGAAACAUUAAAGAACAGUAUCCUGUACGCCUCGAACUCCGCCGAAAGAGAAUGCCGACAGCAAUUUAAAGCCAGUAAAUGGAACUGCUCUUCUGUGUGGGCCCGUCCAAUAAAGAUGAGAGACCCUAUGUAUAUGAUCCGACGAUUAGGUAAUUACGACGUUGUAUACAAGACGCAAUGCUGUAACGGUAGAAAAUGCGAGUGCAAGAAAUUGGUUGCUGUUGCGAAAUGUGUGCGCUAAUUGAAUAUAUCUCAGA